AAAACAUUUUUUAAAAAUGUUUCCUCAAGUACUAUUGGAAGACUUAGCUUUAUGCAAAAAGACUGAAGCCUGUUUUCAAGUAAGUGAAAAUGCUGUGCCUGUAUUUAAAUCUAACAGAAAACGGCCAUUCACAGCAAUUGAAAUCGUAAAUGAAGAUUUGGACAGACUGGAAAAGAGUGGAUUACUCUAAGUGGGCAGCACCCACAGAGUGCAUUAAAAAGAAAAAUAAUAAGAUUAGGCAGUGUGCCAAUUUCUCUAUGGAAUUGAACGAUUGCUUAAAGACAUGCCACCAUCCACUCCUGACACCAGAGGACAUUUUCACAAAAUUAGAUGGUGGAAAAAUUUUCUCCAAAUUGGAUUUGUCUGAUGAUUAUUUACAGAUUAAAGUAAAUGACAAAUGCUCAAAGUAU